rnacentral:rRNA from 1 species
UACGUAGGUGGCAAGCGUUGUCCGGAUUUACUGGGCGUAAAGAGCGCGCAGGCGGUCGUUCAAGUCGCGUGUGAAAAGCCCCCGGCUCAACUGGGGAGGGUCACGCGAUACUGAUCGACUCGAAGGCAGGAGAGGGUAGUGGAAUUCCCGGUGUAGUGGUGAAAUGCGUAGAUAAUCGGGAGGAACACCAGUGGCGAAGGCGACUACCUGGCCUGUUCUUGACGCUGAGGCGCGAAAGCUAGGGAGCAACGGG